AUUGAACGCUGGCGGCAGGCCUAACACAUGCAAGUCGAGCGAGCGGCGGACGGGUGCGUAAUGUAUGGGGACUGCCCGUUAGAGGGGGAUAACUACUGGAAACGGUAGCUAAUCCGGCAUACAAUCGGCUACCGCAUAUGGGAUUAGCUAGUGGGUGGGGUAAUGGCUCACCUAGGCGACGAUCCCUAGCUGGUCUGAGAGGAUGAUCAGCCACACUGGGACUGAGACACGGCCCAGACUCCUACGGAGGCAGCAGUGGGGAAUAUUGCACAAUGGGCGCAAGCCUGAUGCAGCCAUGCCGCGUGUAUGAAGAAGGCCCUAGGGUUGUAAAGUACUUUCAGUCGGGAGGCGUUACCGACAGAAGAAGCACCGGCUAACUCCGUGCCAGCAGCCGCGGUAAUUC
rnacentral:rRNA from 1 species